CCUGGUUGAUCCUGCCAGUAACGUAUGCUUGUUUAAAAGAUUAAGCCAUGCAUGUCUAAGUAUAAACACUUAUACUGUGAAACUGCGUACAGCUCAUUAUAUCAGCACUCAUUUACUUGAAGGUGACUCAUUACAUGGAUAACUGUAAUAAUUUUAGAGCUAAUACAUGCGUAAAGUUCCGACUCUCGGGAAGGAAUGUAUUUAUUAGAUAAAAAAUCAAUGCAGGUUUUACCUGGUUCAUUGAUGAUUCAUAAUAACUGUUCGAAGCGUAUGGCCUUGUGCUGACGCUAGUUCAUUCAAGGUUCUGCCCUAUCAGCUUUCGACGGUAGUGUCUUGGACUACCGUGGCAAUGACGGGUAACGGAGAAUUAGGGUUCGAUUCCGGAGAAGGAGCCUGAGAAACGGCUACUACAUCCAAGGAAGGCAGCAGGCGCGCAAAUUACCCCAUGCUAAUACAGUGAGGUAGUGACAAAAAAUAACAAUGCCGGGCAUUCAUGUCUGGCAAUUGGAAUGAGUACAAUUUAAAUAUCUUAACGAGAAUCCAUUGGAGGGCAAGUCUGGUGCCAGCAGCCGCGGUAAUUCCAGCUCCAAUAGCAUACUUUAAAGUUGCUGCAGUUAAAAAGCUCGUAGUUGAAUUUCUGACUUAACAUGCUUAGCCCUUCCGGGUCACCGGUGGAGUGCUGAGUCGUGUUUGUCAUCCUUCCAGAAAAUGUUGUUGCGCUUCACUGCGUUGACAACACUAUCUGGAUCUUUUACUUUGAAAAAAUUAGAGUGUUUAAAGCAGGCUUUUGCUAUGAAUACAUUAGCAUGGAAUAAUAAUUUAGGACUUCGGUUCUAUUUUGUUGGUUUCUAGGACUGAAGUAAUGAUUGAUAGGGACAGUUGGGGAUGCUGAAAUUCAUUGGCCAGAGGUGAAAUUCUUGGAUUCAAUGAAGUUCAACUCAUGCGAAAGCAUUCAUCAAGGAUGUCUUCUUCUAAUCAAGAACGAAAGUUGGGGGAUCGAAGACGAUCAGAUACCGUCGUAGUCUCAACUAUAAACUAUGCCGACUCGGGAUUGGUGAACGUUGCAUUUUCGACUUCAUCAGCACCGUAUGAGAAAUCAAAGUCUUUGGGUUCCGGGGGGAGUAUGAUCGCAAGGUUGAAACUUAAAGGAAUUGACGGAAGGGCACCACCAGGAGUGGAGCCUGCGGCUUAAUUUGACACAACACGGGAAAACUUACCAGGUCCAGACAUAGUGAGGAUUGAC
rnacentral:rRNA from 1 species